rnacentral:tRNA from 1 species
GUGGCUCAGUGGUAGAGUGCUUGCUUCGAAUGCAUGAGGCCCUGGGAUCAAUUUCUCAGC